rnacentral:tRNA from 1 species
GAGGGUAUAGCUCAAGUGGUAGAGCUGCAUGCUUAGCACGCCAAGGUCCUGGGUUCAAUCCCCAGUAUCAUCU